AUACUGAAGGGUUGGUAGGGGACCAGAGAAUAGAGGAAGCAUUGUAGGUUCUAGAGUGGAGAAGGGACCAUCCAAAAUGGAGUUUGAAAGAGAAUUCUGGCCUUUGUGUUUAGAGUCUGGAAUUGUCAAGAGUCUGAAAGCACAGAAUAAGACUGCAGCUAGAGCAAUUUAGGCGCCAUAGUUUGUCAAAACAGAGUGGGAGGCAUAACUGCUUUGCCUCCAGUCAUCAUCUGGGGGCAUAUCUACUCUUCGAGGACCAGGGGUUCGGGACCCUGGAACAGGAUCUGAAUUCCAAGCUGACCUCAGGGGUACAUGAAGACUGCUAGAUGAGACGGGAUCUCACUGUGUUGCCCAGGCUGGUCUCGAACUGCUGGACUCAAGUCAUCCUCCCAUCUUGGCCUCCCAAAGUGCUGGAAUUACAGUGGACAACCUUCAAUGCACUGGUACUUUGUACCCUGACCUCUACUGUGAUGAACACUCAACUUGGGCAAGGAAGUGAAAUUCUCCAAAGUGCAGUGGGUUCUGACCCAAUCAGCAGCCUUUGCUUCUCAGAUUCCUCUCAAGGCUUUAUGACUCUUCUCACCCCAGGAAACCCUACAACACGCACGGCCUUUCAGAACUGCUACAUGGAAUGGACAUUCCUCUGGGCUCCAGCUGAAUGUUUGUAAAUAAAAUAAUGACUGCGUGUCCU
rnacentral:lncRNA from 1 species